GCCAGACCAGUCCACUCCGCUGGCCCCAAGCCUUAGGAAGAGCCAAAGUGUGAUUCCAACUGUUACAGCAUCUCAUGACACUGCACGCAAGGUUCUAAGAGGAGCAUGGUGGAGUUGGAUGGUGAGUGAGUUCUCUCGGAUGGUGUGGAAUAUGCAUCGGGUAAGUCCCCUCACGAGAGUGCGGCACCGAAAAUGGCUACUCUGG